AUCACUGAAUUCUUUUAGUCGGCGAGGACGAACUAUUUGAAGCCGGGUGGAUUAAAAACACCUCUGAAGUGAACGCGGACGUAAAAAGAUUGAAUAUGGCUAGAUUUGAGUGCUCUUGUAUAUACCAAGCUCUCUCAAGCACUUCAGAAAAGGUCAGAAAAAUCCCCGAAGUCUAGGUUUGUUAUGGUGGUUGCCAUCUUAAAAAUCCUUGAUAAAUAGUACUGGUCGGGUACACUGUCAUAAAGUGUGUGAAAUAACAAUUGUUAAUGAAAUUUUAUACAGGAGCCAUCUUUAGCGCUACUUAUAAUUUGACCUCAACAACUUAUUUCACAGUUGUAUUACAAAUAACAUACUUUGAAUGCGAUGUGGUAGGUUUGAAACAUCAUUGUCAAGUUUUAGGAGGAGUGUAACAGUGUUAUACCGGUCAAGCAGAGGACUGAAAUGGCAG